rnacentral:tRNA from 1 species
GCGUCCGUAGUUCAAUUGGAUAGAGCGUCAGAUUCCGGUUCUGGAUGUUGGGGGUUCGAGUCCCUUCGGGCGUGCCA